rnacentral:rRNA from 1 species
CGUACACUCCUGCGGGAGGCAGCAGUGGGGAAUAUUGGACAAUGGGCGAAAGCCUGAUCCAGCAAUGCCGCGUGAGUGAUGAAGGCCUUAGGGUUGUAAAGCUCUUUUACCCGGGAUGAUAAUGACAGUACCGGGAGAAUAAGCCCCGGCUAACUCCGUGCCAGCAGCCGCGGUAAUACGGAGGGGGCUAGCGUUGUUCGGAAUUACUGGGCGUAAAGCGCGCGUAGGCGGCUUUGUAAGUUAGAGGUGAAAGCCCGGAGCUCAACUUCGGAAUUGCCUUUAAGACUGCAUCGCUAGAAUCGUGGAGAGGUGAGUGGAAUUCCGAGUGUAGAGGUGAAAUUCGUAGAUAUUCGGAAGAACACCAGUGGCGAAGGCGACUCACUGGACACGUAUUGACGCUGAGGUGCGAAAGCGUGGGGAGCAAACAGGAUUAGAUACCCGUGUAGUCCCAUGA